GUAUUCCAAAGGUCGUAGGUUCGAAUCCCACCGUGGCCGGGCAUAUUUUUCAAGCUCGCCCGGUGUGGAUAUACACUCAGAGUAACACCCACAAAUAUCAUAUUCACCUGAGUACACUACACCAACACAGAAAAAAAAAAAGAAAAAAAAAUUUUAAUAGACUUUUUGAAAAGAUGAUGUAUAAAAGGAUGCAGAGCUUUAUUCAAAAACAUGCUAUCCUUUCUUCUUGUCAGUAUGGUUUUCGAGAAUUGCAUUCAACUGAACAUGCAAUUCUUGAUAUUGUUAAUACCAUUCAGUCAAAUAUGGCUAAGAAAUUAUUUUCGUGCGGAGUAUUUAUUGAUUUAAAAAAAGCUUUUGA